AAGGAUCAUUAACGAGUUCAAAAGUCGGUCGACCGUGCUGGCGGAGACGCAUGUGCACGUCGGUCGCGAACCAUCCACACACCGUGAACCUAUGGCCUGGGGUUUGAGUUCAGACCCUGGGCACCAUUUUUACACUCUGUUCGUAAAGGAAUGUCUUAUAUCAUAUAAACAUACAACUUUCAACAACGGAUCUCUUGGCUCUCGCAUCGAUGAAGAACGCAGCGAAAUGCGAUAAGUAAUGUGAAUUGCAGAAUUCAGUGAAUCAUCGAAUCUUUGAACGCACCUUGCACCCUUUGGUAUUCCGAAGGGUACGCCCGUUUGAGUGUCAUUGUAAUCUCACCCCGAAAUCUUUUUUGGAGUGGACUUGGACGCUGCCGUGUUGCAUGGCUCGUCUCGAACGUCUUAGUAUGCCCCGCCCGUCGGUGUAGACAGCGUGAUAAGUAUCUUCGCUGGUCAAGCCUCUCCGGAGGCGCACCUCGAGCAUGGAAGCCUGCUGCCAACCGUCUUUUGACAACCUUUGACAAUUUGACCUCAGAUCGGGGGGG
rnacentral:rRNA from 1 species